rnacentral:rRNA from 1 species
UACAGAGGUCUCGAGCGUUAGGCGGAAUCACUGGGCUUAAAGCGUGUGUAGGCGGAUGCCUAAGUACCUUGUGAAAUCCCACGGCUUAACCGUGGAACUGCUUGGUAUACUGGGUGUCUUGAGCCACUCAGGGGCGAGCGGAACAAAUGGUGGAGCGGUGAAAUGCGUAGAUAUCAUUUGGAACGCCAAUGGUGAAAACAGCUCGCUGGGGGUGUGCUGACGCUGAGAGACGAAAGCUAGGGGAGCGAAUGGG